AUGAUGAUGACUGCAGUCAGAAUUUUGAGUACGACGCUUUCGUGUGUCACAAUCAAGACGACCGCGAGGACACGCGGUUCGUACAAGACCUGAUUGAGGAGCUAGAAGUUAGAAGAGGACUUCGACUCUAUGUCCCAGGUCGCGAUGAUCCAACGGGUGCAUACGAAUACAUCACCACUGCUGGCGAAAUUGAAAGAAGUUGCCGAAGAGUGAUUGUAGUCCUAUCAAGGACGUUUCUUCAGAGCAGAUUUUUGGUCUUCAUAGAACGGUUUGCACAAGGAUUUUCAACAGACGUCCAAAGACGUGCACGAAUGAUUACAGUCAUCCGAGAGAAAGGCGCCGUCGUGCCUAGUACACUAAAUGACGGUUAUAUUAUCGACUGUAACGACAUCAUCAAUUGGGUCCUCUUUACAUCAUUCGUCAAAGAAAAGAUUUCACAAAAAACAUACAGAGAAUUUCAAAGAAAUAGAAACAGACAAGUUCUUCGUGUGCCGUAUCCAGCAGGUGCAAAUGAAUACACAGCUCUUAAAGAGGUAACGCCUUCUCCAAAUAUUCAGCCUAAUGCGGAUCCCAUGGGAUCUAACGCUCCAAUUUCAUCAGAACAUACUUUGACUCAAUGACAAGCCGACGCAAAUGAAAACACAGCUCCUAAAGAGGUAACGCCUUCUCAAAAUGUUCAGACUCCUGUAGCAACAGCGAUCCGGACUGACUUACAACUUCUUCAAAAAGAAAAGAAUAUACAAGAAUCCUCCCAGAAAAGCGACGAAAUAAAUAAACCUUCACCCAUCACGCAUAGCGAAACAACUCUGCAGCACGAAGGCGAAACUGUAUUGUCAGAUGAACACAGUGUUUCUAUGAGUCCUUUUUACUUAGAAUACCGGAGCCAACCAACUACAGUGAUGCAAAGACGACAAAAUACCCGUGAUACGCCUCUAUCGCAAAAUCCGAUCCCUAUCGUGCAAGACGAACAAACUACCGACCGGACAACUCAACUGCUAGCAGACCAGACAUCAAGUAUGGCUCUUUCUGAGCAGCUGAUAUCUGAGCCAUCUUCAAUUGAUCAGCAAACUGAAACCUAAAAUUCCACAAGCGUCGAACCGAAAGUACUUAGCGAGGAAAACAAUUAAGAUAUAUGAUAGUUAGCCACAGUUAAGUGUCCUUGAACAGCAGAACGAAUGACGAACUGAAGAUUCGAGUACGUUUUUGGACCGUUUACGUAAAACAUGUCGCUACUAAUUAAACAAAUAAAACGCGACACUUAAAACACCCAAAAGAAAAUUAAAACAAACUGCACAUGAGGAAUUAUUCUUUCAUGACUUGAACAGUAAAUAACUUCCAUGUCAGUGCCAAUAUUCAAAUAACAAAUAUCGACUUUAUAAUUUACUUGACAUGUUGUUUAAAUGUUUAUAGUUUAUUACACCCGCAGAAAAUUACAUCAAGCGUUUUAAUACUAUAAUUUAUUACACACUUUAUAUGAGAAAACAUAUCAUAAUUUACAUAAGCAGAUAUAUAUCUUUUAAAGGGUGUAAUUGUUUACAUGGCAAUUAAAAAAAGUUUGAUUAAUAUACUUCAAAGUUGUUAAAAAUUUGUUGAUUCAAAAUAACCUUUUUAUUGUUUUAGCUAUUGCAUAUUGUCUGUUUCUUUCAGUAAUGUUGCGCAGUCUUUAUAAGGGUGUUUUGUAAGUACAAUUAUCCCAUUUUUUAAAUAUUUUUAUUCUUUAUCCAAAACUGUUAAGUAUACUUUAUGUCACAAUGCAUCAAUCUUGUCAUACAUAUGCGUUCUUUUAUUUCUUUCAAGUGGUUAUGCGCCAAGUUCAUUCUCGAUUAGUCUUCAACUAUAUCGGCAAUAAUGUGUUAUUAUCACAAUAUUGUAAUGGAAAAUUAUUUGUUGCCAGGUACAUCCGUCUAGGCAGAUUUAUUUCAAAAGAAAUUGAUAUAAAAAUGCUGUAUAACGGUUUCAUUUAGACUUCAGAAAAUAGAAAUUUCUAAAAUUUAUCUUUUAUUGGGAAAAUAUAAUUUUGAACUGACAGAAAACCUCUUAACGCGCGUGUGUAGUUUGUUGGUUUGUUGAAAAUCACUAUAUUAGAAUUUCUUUUAUUUAUUUGCAAAUGUAUGUAUGUUGCUUAUAUUUCAUUUAAUCUUCCGUUUGUAAACGUUUUGGUGAGAAAUUGCACGUUUUUAUGGCGAUUGUUGAAAUUUUUUGCCACAAUCGUCCUUUUUUGUUCUAUAAGUACCAUAAAUCAUGCACUGAUAAGUAGCCGGGUAUAACAAUCAUUUCCAAUAUAAAAGAACACCUCGUAUAUCUGCACAUUAUUAUAUAUCAUGUUUUCAAAUUGGUACGUGUCUCUUGUCGUCCAUUCUGCUCUCCGUCUGUCCGAUAGAUGCUUUGUAUCUGCUAAGUAUUGUCUACAUUGUUCGAUUAUUAUAUGUGUACAGAAUUAGACAGAAUUAUGGUUGCACAAGUCUGUAGUAUGUAGUCUGCACAAAUAGUAAAAAUUGAAACACAGAAUAGCUGUGCGUUUUAUUUAUUAAUUUUGAAAGAAAAAAUGUAAAUCAUAAUACUACAUAUUCAUAAAACUAUAUUGUAUGGAUUUUAAAUAUUCAUAAUAAUUUGAAUGUUCCUUUUUGUGUUUUUUUUCUCUCAGUUUUUUCAUGUUUUGAAUGGAUUUUAAAUAAUACUAUAUAUCUAUACUUUAAGUACAAUAAGCAUCUUUGCAUGACUUUAUUACACAUGAUUUUGUUGUUCAUUUUAUCUGCCUUUUCAAUGUUGUAAAUUAUUUAUGCCCCGCUUCGAAGAAGAGGGGGUAAAUUGUUUAGCUGGAUGAUUGUCGGUCUGUCGGUCGGUCUGUCGGUAGACCAGUUCGCUUCCAAUUAAUCACUCGUCAACGAAUUGACCGAUUUGCUUGAUGCUUCACAUGUGCAUUGGCCUCGGGCAGUUAAUGACCCCUAUAUAAAUUGGAUUCAUUAUGUCAAAGGUCAAGGUCAGUGUAUCAAGAAGUGCGAACAUCGUUUCCGAUCAAUAACUCAUCAACGAAUCGACCGAUUGGCAUGAUACUUUACAUGUGCAUUGGACUCGGAUACUAGAUGACCCCUUUGAAACUUGUAGUAACUUGGUGAAAGGUCAAGGUCACUGUCACAAUGAGUGUGAAAAUGGUUUCCGAUCAGUAACUCGUCAACGAAUUGACCUAUUGGCUUGAUACUCCACAAGUGCAUUGGACUCUGACUGUAGAUGACUCCUAUUGAAAUUAGGGUCACUAGGUCAAAAGCCAGAGUCACUGUCACAAUAGGUGUAAACAUCGUUUCAGAUCAAUAACUCGUCAACAAAUUGACUGGUUGCAUUGAUACUUCUCAUGUGUAUUGGACUCGGACAGUAGAUGAUGCCUAUUGAAAUUGGGGUCACCAGGUCAAAGGUCAUAGUCACUGUUACAAUAAGUGGAAAUCUGAUCAAUAACUCAUCAACGAAUUGACCGAUUGUCUUGAUACUUCCCAUGUGCAUUGGCCUUUGACAGUAGACGACCCCUUUGGAAAUUUGGGGCACUAGGUCAAAUGUCAAGGUCACUGUUACAAUAAGUGUGAAAAUUGUUUCCGAUCAAAAUCUCGUCAAAAAUCGAACGAUUGGCUUUAUACCUCACACCUAUUGAAAUUGGGGUCACAAGUUCAAAGCGCUGUUUUGGGGGCAUAUGUCUCCGACCUCGGAACUCGUGUUUUCUUUAUGUUUUUUUCAUAAAGGACAAUAUUAUGUUUUCUUUUAUCCUAUGCAAACACUCAGAUAGGAGAUGUUUUCUGACGUAAUCAAUACCUAUAUUAUUGGGUAUAUACUGAAUAAUGUUUGCCUUUUUAUUCACGUGUUUCGCGAGGUUGAAAAUCCUGAUUAAAAGAUUGGGGUAUGGCGAGCGGGCGGGUGUUUUUGAGACGUUUUAGUUUCGGUAUAUAUUUUUUGUCGUUUGAUCUAUUGGUAGCUAACAAAACAAGCACGUUUUGCAUUGAUUUUAGGGCCAGUUGGUUACAAGUUAUUGUUUUAAUUACUAUACAUACACAGCAAUCUUGUGUGUUCUUAUCAUAUCUUAAGACUGCAUUGACCAAUGAAGCUUUUUGGAAAUUUAUGCGACAGUGAUUCGGAAAAAUGUUAAUGUGAAUGUUAAACACAAUAUAAACAUGGAAUAAUCCAUUUUGGAGUAGAGGUAUUGCAUUCAAAUUUGGGAAUGUAGCUUACAUGCCGACAAGGUUUUGAAUUUCAGUUUUGGCUAUACAGGUGAAGAGCAAGUAAAUAAAAAUAGAAGAAAAUAGUCAGCGAAUAACUAAGUUUGGAAGGAGGUCUUGCAUUAACAUUUUGUGUAAAGGUUGCUUAAAUUCAUUCUUAGCUUGGGAUUACAUUGUGGGGAGAGUUGAAUCAAAUUAAAGGUCAUAGUUAGUUAAAGUAAAAAUAAAAGUGUUAUCGCUUACAACAUGAAUUCGGAUGGAGCUGUUACGCUGACAUGUUGCGUGUAUGUAACUUAGAUUAAGACCUUGUUCACGAUUGAUUAAUAAUUUAAAUUACAAUUAUAUUAAACGUGUACUUUAAAAACCUGGUUUCGUGCCGUUAUCUUUUUCCUUGUUUCAAAUUUAAUGUCUUUAAUUUGAAUUGAUUGAUAUAUUAAUAGCAUUUUAGUCAUUUAAGCACUGUUACUAUUUACAUGCUAUACACUUAAAAGCUUGUCAGCAUUUGAAUGGUUCAAAAACAAGCGGUGUUUGUUCGUAGGUAUAAUGUAAACGAUAGUAUCGUUUGCAUACAACGUGUUCGUGUAACCUUACCAAGCCGUGGAUGACAUAAUUCUUGAGUUAUUAAUGGCUUAUGGUUCGUCCUUGUCAUCGGCUACUGAUAAAAUAUUAACUAAUUUGGUUAAAUUGUCCAUGUAUUCGUUAUUUAGCUGUUUUAAUGCGUAUUCAGGCGGUGACGUUCUGCUACUUGGAAAGUAUAUAA